UACAGAGGUCCCGAGCGUUGUUCGGAUUUACUGGGCGUAAAGGGCGCGUAGGCGGCCUCCGCAAGUCAGUUGUGAAAUCUCCGAGCUUAACUCGGAAAGGUCAACUGAUACUGCGGGGCUAGAGUGCGGAAGGGGCAACUGGAAUUCUUGGUGUAGCGGUGAAAUGCGUAGAUAUCAAGAGGAACACCUGCGGCGAAGGCGGGUUGUUGGGCCGACACUGACGCUGAGGCGCGAAAGCUAGGGGAGCGAACGGG
rnacentral:rRNA from 1 species